AUUGAACGCUGGCGGCAGGCCUAACACAUGCAAGUCGAGCGAGCGGCGGACGGGUGAGUAAUGUCUGGGAAACUGCCUGAUGGAGGGGGAUAACUACUGGAAACGGUAGCUAAUACCGCAUACCAUCAGAUGUGCCCAGAUGGGAUUAGCUAGUUGCGGGGGUAACGGCGCACCAAGGCGACGAUCCCUAGCUGGUCUGAGAGGAUGACCAGCAAACCUGGAACUGAGACACGGUCCAGACGCCUACGGUAGGCAGCAGUGGGGAAUAUUGCACAAUGGGCGCAAGCCUGAUGCAGCCAUGCCGCGUGUGUGAAGAAGGCCUUCGGGUUGUAAAGCACUUUCAGCGGGGAGGCGUUACCCGCAGAGGAAGCACCGGCUAACUCCGUGCCAGCAGCCGCGGUAAUUC
rnacentral:rRNA from 1 species